CGCCUCUUGAGAGCAUAAGAGGUCCUGUCUGCACAAUGACCUAUGGGUUCAAUUGCCGCGGUACCCUGACCGUGCUAAGGUAGCGUAAUCAAUAGCCUAUUAAUUGUUGGCCUGUAUCAAUGGCGCAACGCUGGUGGUGCUGUCUCUUCGGUAUUUUAUUGAAUUUAGUCUCUUGGUGAAAAAGCCAGGAUGAAACUAAAAGACGAUAAGACCCUGUCGAACUUUAGGCUGCCCUUUCAUAGGCCGUUAUUGGCCUAUUAACGGCUAACCUUUGGUUGGGGAAACCGAGGACCAAAAAAAGCGUCCGUCCCACUUACUGUUAAGUUUAAGAAAUAGUGAUUUUGUGGUUUUUUGGGGGUCUGGCGAGACUAAAAUAGCUGUCUGGAUCCGGAGGCCAAGGAGCACUUCGAAAUGGGAAAAGUUACCGCAGGGAUAACAGCGUAAUCCCCCCGGAGAGACCAUAUUAAUGGGGGGGUUUGCGACCUCGAUGUUGGCUUAAGGCAUCCUGGGGGUGCAGGAGCCCCCAACGGUUGGUCUGUUCGACCAUUAAUGCCUU
rnacentral:rRNA from 1 species